rnacentral:rRNA from 1 species
GACGAACGCUGGCGGCGUGCUUAAUACAUGCAAGUCGAGCGAGGCCUUGGAAUUGGAGUCCUUCGGGAUGAAGAGUCCUUGGCCUAGCGGCGGACGGGUGAGUAACGCGUGGGCAACCUACCCCAAAGUCCGGGAUAACAGUGGGAAACCGCUGCUAAUACCGGAUGGCUUUACCUGAGGGCAUCCUCGGGUAAAGAAAGGUUACGCUUUGGGAUGGGCCCGCGUCCCAUUAGCUAGUUGGUGAGGUAACGGCUCACCAAGGCGACGAUGGGUAGCCGGCCUGAGAGGGUGAACGGCCACACUGGGACUGAGACACGGCCCAGACUCCUACGGGAGGCAGCAGUAGGGAAUAUUGCGCAAUGGGCGGAAGCCUGACGCAGCGACGCCGCGUGAGCCAAGAAGGCCUUCGGGUCGUAAAGCUCUGUCCUUGGGGAAGAAGGCGUAAGCUUGACGGUACCCAAGAAGAAAGCCCCGGCUAACUACGUGCCAGCAGCCCGCGGUAAUACGUAGGGGGCGAGCGUUGUCCGGAAUUACUGGGCGUAAAGGGUGCGUAGGCGG